rnacentral:snRNA from 1 species
AUAGUUAUUCCUGACUGUUAAUUUUGUCAUUUUUACAGAGAUUAGCAUGGCCCCUGCGCAAGGAUGACAUGCAAAUUUGUGAAGCAUUCCAUAUUUUU